GAGUUUGAUCCUGGCUCAGGACGAACGCUGGCGGCGUGCUUAACACAUGCAAGUCGAACGGAAAGCGCUUUUCGGAGUGACUCGAGUGGCGAACGGGUGAGUAACACGUGGGUGAUCUGCCCUGCACUUUGGGAUAAGCCUGGGAAACUGGGUCUAAUACCGGAUAGGACUACGAAUCGCAUGGUUUGUGGUGGAAAGCUUUUGCGGUGUGGGAUGGGCCCGCGGCCUAUCAGCUUGUUGGUGGGGUGAUGGCCUACCAAGGCGACGACGGGUAGCCGGCCUGAGAGGGUGUCCGGCCACCCUGGGACUGAGAUACGGCCCAGACUCCUACGGGAGGCAGCAGUGGGGAAUAUUGCACAAUGGGCGCAAGCCUGAUGCAGCGACGCCGCGUGAGGGAUGCCGGCCUUCGGGUUGUAAACCUCUUUCAGUAUCGACGAAGCGUAAGUGACGGUAGGUACAGAAGAAGCACCGCCCUUCAGGGGUGCCAGCAGCCGCGGUAAUACG
rnacentral:rRNA from 1 species